GCCGCGGUGAGGGCCCGGGACUGGAGCCAGCUCCCUCAGCACCGCCCCGGAGCGGCACCGCUGCACGGCCCGCCCCGUCUCUGGAAGCGUUCCAGGCCAGGUUGGACGGGGCUUGGAGCAGCCUGGUCUGUGGGAAGGUGUCCCUGCUGCCCAGGACGCGGGGCUGGAAUGAGAUGAGCGUUAAGGGCCCUUCCGACACAAAGCGGUCGGUGGUUCUGUGACAGGAACCUUAAGCAGGCAUUCCACACAGGGGACAGCGACUCCGGGCCGGCAUCCCACGCUGGCACCUCAGAACUGGAACGCCAGAAACUCAGCCCAGCUGUCCAGACCAAGAGGGGCAGGAGGCCAAGAGAAUGUGGAUGCUCAGCUCUGGGUACAGGGACUGAGAGCCUGGACAUAAGCCCAGGACAGGCAUCCCAGCACCCUGCACCAGACCCCAUGGCAGAACCCUGGCACAGGGGCCAGAACUGGGAGUCCAGCCCUUCAGACUAGGGUGGGAAGACACUGGGACACAGAUCCAGGAUAGGCACCAGGUCGGGUCCCUGCUGCCCAAGAGACCGCGGGGAUGCAGGCAGUGAGGAGCAGCCUUGCAGCCCUGUUUGCCUGGCACUGGUGCAUUUGUGCAGCACAUGCUGUAGUGACAGGGAGCCAAGGCACAGGCACUCUCUGGUUUUUCCCACCUUGCUAAUUAAACCAACCAGAAAUAGGUCAGUCUGUUUCCAUCCGCAGGCUACAGUGAGCGCUCAACAGAUUGAAGACUUUUUAUGUAUUGUGUGAAGAUUUCUUUUUCCUUUGUCCACACUGACUCUCCACGUGCAUUUCAUCAACAGAGCAAUUCAGCUUCAAAUGCAGCAGCCACAAACCCCUCACAUUUCACAGGAAAAAAACCAUCCAGUCUGAACAGAAGAAACUUAUCAAGUACAACCCGCUGACCUCCUGCUUAUCACUGUGGCUUCCUCCAUUUCCUGCACACUUCAGCCUUUCCAAUUGCCAGUCUUUUCCAUUUUAAAUUUUAUUUAUAUCAUGAUGUCAUCCACAACGAGCUGGGAAGAAGAAAGUCUUGGUGUAACGGCAGCAACCUCUUGAGCAAGAACCAUUGCAAAAGAGGAUGUCGCACCACAUUAAUACUCUACAGAAAUAAGCCAAAGAGACAUGACAGAUUUUUUAUGAUCACAAGUAACUGUCUCGCCUCUGGGAUUGAGCAGGAUGGCUGGAGGAAGUAUUCCAAGGGCUCUCCAAAAUCUGCAGAGGAUGCACGUGGUGUGUGCUCAUCUCCACGCUCCCAUCCCACUCCCUCUAGCGAGAUUAGCACCCAGACCAGCCGGUGAGAGCCCACUUGACAGGCCCACAUAGUUUAGAUUCAUAAUCAGAUUAACCAAACAGUAAUCCUAUUUUUAAACAAUGAAAAAGCCAAGUCCUUGAGCUGCCUCUGUGUGUGUGUGUGCAUACAGAAUAAAUGUCAUCCUUUUGGAAUAAAGAACUUGAAUACCAAAUGAAGAAGGUUUCUUCCACAUAGGAGACUUUGCCCUGUAGAGGAAAGAAGGACUGUGUUGCAUUAUUACCACUUUUUCCCACUGAUUUUGAUCUCCAGCAAUCCCACUCCAAUACUUGCAGGAUGUACCUUCUACAAGAUAUAUUCUUGACCACAUUUUAAAAUAAUAGCUACAGAAGUGCACUACUCCCCAAAUGCUCCAGAAACUUUAAUUAGGAAUGUUCCAAUACUCAAACUUAUACUUUAAAAACUGCCCAGGCACUGGAAAAUGAGCAUAUUUCAUAUAUUCAAUGUAACAGACUCACAGUGGAAAAAAUCUCACUGGGCAACCAGUAGCAUUUGUCUCUGUCACAGUAUUUCCAGCACCGCUGCAUUUUCCCAAAUGAUGCAGAAACUCCUUUCUCAGCUCCAGCACCCACUUUUUUUUCCCCUCCCCGUCCUAUUCCGAUCGUGCCCCGGCCCAGUCCCAAGCUUUUCCCAGCGGGAUGACUCCAAGUGCCCGCUCGAGGGAGAGCAGCGCUGUCCCCGUUCCCCGCCAGCCGGCCCGACAUUGCCAUCGCCCGGCCCGGCCCCGCAGUGCAGCCGCCUCGCCUUCCCGGCCGGGAGAGCUGCCAGUGCCAUGGAAAACCCUCCUGCUCCCCAGGCAGCUCCUCAGGGACCUGCCCGACCUCCGGGUCUCAUCUCCCCGGUGAUGGCAGCAGCACUGCGGGCUGUAGCAAGGCUCUCGAGCUUUGUGGAGGGGACUGAUGCAUUUCUGAACGUGGUGCUGCCACACCUGAGUCAAGAAAGCGCUGGAAAAGCCCAGAAUGUGUAUGGAAAAAGAGAGCAGCAAGAUGUCAUAGCCUGAAAAGCAGAACACCUAAAGAAGUGGCAAUUACAUUGCCUAAGAAAUGGAAUUCACAGGUAGUGUUGCCCCCCUCCCAGUACGUGAUAAAGUAAAGCUGUACAACUUGAUGUUUUGGUUUUUUCAAAGUGCAGCUUUUAGACCAAGCUUACAGUAACUCCCCAUUUUAAUGCAGGGCACUAGAACUAGACUUAAAUGCCAGGUAUUUCAGGGUAUCCAUUUCCCUUCUGUUCUCUUUAAAUAAAAUUUUCUAAUUUCUCUUCCUUGCCUCCCUCCACGACUUUUACCCACAGAACCAGCUCAGAAGCUCAGCUCAGUAACAACCACACAGAAAGAAGCUAUGGGAGAGGGAGGAGUCAAAUUGUAAAUUUACCAGUGAUCUUGCUCUGUGCUGAAAGUUCUUUUUAGCAGGUGUGCACUUCAAAAUAAAAUCACAGCAAUAAAUACAUGAGAACAGCACCUGCCUCCCUGCCAGCACCUUGCCACAGAAAUCUUCAACAAGAAAUGUGUAUUUUCCGCACCGAAGCUGAGCUGAGGGCACCUAUUCCACUGAAGACAUUGGUUUCUCAUGAAAAAAACAGAAGUUUUUGAAGUCACUGGCUCUGGAGCUGGGAAUAUGGGCAGGGUGUGUGUCAGGCUGCCCUGGAAGCUCUCACAAAAUCAGCUACAAUGGUGCAGCCGGGCCAGGACACCACCCAGCCAGCAGCUGUGUGCUUUUCCUUUGUGGUUGCAGAGCUGUUCCACAAGCCAAGCUCUCAUUCCACACAGGAGGGAGAGGAAAAAAAAAAUAAAUUAAAAACCCAAAGCUUCAGCCCAUCCAAGUCUAGACCAGCUCUUUUUACAGCUGGAAAUUGCAGUUUCACUGUUCCGCUACAGCGCGGACAGAAACACUCUGAACCCCACUUGUGGCUAAACUGGUCCCUGACAAGGUGCCACAUUUUAGCUGUACAAGGGCAAAAUUCAUCCAGAAGGUGGAUCUGAUGCUGAGAUGUGUGCUGAUGUGCAGCCAGCCUUGCAAGGACCCAACUGCACAAGGGAGCUGCCUGCUUGAGCAGUAGGCAGAAAGAACAGCAUUAGAGGGGUUUAAAUACAGCCAAAAACAAUAGGGCUGCUGGUAAAAUCUACAGGAGACUCUCAGGCUGGAUGCCAUCCUCCUUCACUGAGCUCUGGAAUGCAAAGUCAUCUUCUAGGGAGGGGAAUAAGACACACAUCCCCCUUCCCCCCAAAAAAACCCCACAAUCUAAACAGCUGAGCUGAAUAUCAGCAGAGUCUGAGCACGGAGCCACCGCAGAACAGCCCAGCUCCUUGAGUUUGGAGUCAGAAUAGUACAGAACUGCAUAAACACAGCAGAUGAGAUGUGCUAGUACUGGCAUUUCACACCUGCACUUGGAUUUUGCAAGGACAGCAGUUCCUUGCAGAUACAGGUGCAAUUAUAAUUUUCACUCACAUUGAUCUUUGAUUGAGACACAGAUAACUCUGGAACACCUGGGAACAGCUCUGCUGACAGAUUCCCCCAUUGCCCUCACUCCCCCAAACUCCCUCUUCUGUUUGUUAUUAAAAAUUUCCAGUAUAAGAAAGAUAUUUUUUAAACGCCCAAGUAUGCAAUAUCCCUCUUAAAAUCUUUCUCUCAUUUCACAAUGUUUUUUAAAGGCAUAAACAAAGCCAAAUAAUUUUUAUGAGUCUGACAACGUGGGUUGUUUUGUUCAGUUUUAACUCCAGUGCUCAGUAUCUCCUGAUGAAUAGUUAAGAGAACUAUGCACAAACCAGAUCUCAUCUGCAAUUUAAAGAAAACAAAAAACUCUGCUCCUCCAGCAUAUAAAUCAUCUAAAAGCAACAAAAAAUAUUUAGCUGCACUUCUUAAGCAAGUAACAUUUUCAGGAAUUUUUUGUGCCUCUGAACACUUGCUUGAUUUUUUUUAUUUCUUAAUACCCAAACCAGAUUAUUCUUCAGUGGUUUAAUAGCAUUAUCCAGCAGUUAAAUAGUUUAUUAUCCAGCUUCUUCCAGAUAGAGGUAUUUCCAGAACAUCUGCAUGGGUAAAGCAAGAGGCUUCUUGCAUAACUGCUCUAGUGGGGGGAAAAAAAAAUUUCCUGAAGGCUUUUUAAUAUGAUCUUUCAUAAUUCAAGUUCUUGGGAAUUCAUACCAAACCAGGAACAAUGGAUUCAUUACAUAGUUCACUUUCACCUAAUGCUUUCUACAUGCUUCACUCCUGAGCUAUAAAGCAGCAAGAAACCACCUUUCCAUAAUGGCUGUGGUCAGGGGAGAGCUUUCCAUUUGAAGUCAGAGGAAAAACUCUUCCCUCUUGUGCACAUUGUGAGCCAAAAGAAAACUUUUAUGAGCUGAGGUUCGUCCUCCCACCCUGUUCAAUAGCUUAGAAGUGUCUGACUAAGAAAAUUCAGGAACUUGAGGAUUAAAAAAAAAUUAAAAAUGAAAAAUCAGGUUGAAACUUCCAGAAAUAUGUACAUCAUUUCACUUUCACUUGACAUGUCUUUUUAAACCUUAGAAUUGGGCAAAAAGCCAUAUCCUUAGUCCUAGCCAGAAGCAAGUCUUGAGACACUGACAAAGAUUAGCAUAUGCUCAGUUAAGACCUGCUUAUUUAUUUUGCAAAUGUUUUCACUGAAUUAAAUAAACCCAUCCCUGACCAUCUUACCAGCACAAGGAUUUCUGCUUCUUUAAGACAACAACCUCCCCCAGUUGUUUUUCUGAAGACAUCUCAGUCUGUUGCCUGUUUUCUCAACACAAGGGAGAUGUUCCCUACGACAUUACAACUUAGUCCUACUUCCUGAGGAAGACUCUUCAGAUGUUGAAAAUAUCCUUCCCCAACUCUAUUUCUUUUUGCCUUAUUCAGGAUUAAAACCUGAAGUUUGAAGGCCUCUGAAUGAAUUCCCAUAGGAACAUCAACAGCCUCACUUCACCUUCCACACACACUUGACCAAACACUUUGUUGUGUCUAAAACAAAAGCUCCUUGGCCUUUCAAUUUCAUUACCAACUUUUAAACUCUCUAAUAAUGCUCCUGUUGCAUUUCUAGUCAAGAGAAAUAUCAACAAGCAUAUGAACAUGUAUUCAAAAUUGACACUUGUAGCUAUUGUAAGCACAAGUAUUCCAAGAGUAAAUAUUCAGAAACAAGUGCUCUGGCAGCCCUAAGCUCUAAGGAGCCACUGCUCCCUCCCCAGUGCCCACAGACCAGCUCAGGAACAGCAACUGGACACAGGGACACUUGUCCUAUGCCAACAGGAAUUAUUUCACUCCUUUCCAAAAACAACCUGGAUUUUAUUUGUCUGUUGCAUUCUAGAGAGAAAAUCAAGGGGAUGGGAUGCUAGGAAAGUUUGGUUAUGAUGACCAGUUGUUUUUUGUCCUCGGUGCUGACAUACACCAGAAGGAUGAACACCACACACUCCUUGCACCCCUCACUUGCCAGUGUGGCACUUUCACUGGCCAGAGCCCUCCUCAGCAUACACCACCCUCAGUUUUGGUGCUGCCCAAGCUGCAGCAGAGUUACUUCAUCUCCCACCUUGCUUUAUACACAUUUAUUGCACUAGAACAAAUGUUUUCUAUAAAAAAAAAGAUGCUGUAGAAAACCACAAGAUUGUAAAUACCAGAUUUACGAUGUCUGCAAUUAUAUUUAAUAUUAAUAAUGUCUUGUUUUUACAAAGCAGUUGCAAUAAAAAAAAAAAA